rnacentral:misc_RNA from 1 species
AAAUGAUCAAAUGUUUUUAUCUUAUAAGGCAAAAAGCUGAUGACCAUGACCCCAUUCUUGCAGCAGCGACAAGCAAUUGGCAAUCAUUGGCAAUUGAGCUGAAACAGCAUGCAGCGCGUGCCAUUGCGUUUUAGGAGAGUAAGAAUGGAAGACAGGUGAAUGAUAUUGAAUAUUUUGAGCAUUUAGGUGGUUAGUGGAUAUGUCAUAUUCUGCUCAAUUCUCCCAUACAAGGAACCAUUUUGUGGAAGCAGAAGAGACUAGUUGCUCACCAACUG